ACCCUGCUGCUCCCUGCCCGCCAUGUCACUGUUCGAAGGCGCGGCUGCUCGAAGUGUAAAAGUUCGGAGGCUGCAGCGGGUGCCCCCCUGGCUCUCAGGUUCGGAGUCAAUAACCCGUUAAAAUGAGCGCGGCGGCGCUUGUUUUUCCAGCAAUUGUUUUCCAGCGCUCGUUCCAGGAUAUCUGGCUACACACACGCUGGGUUUCCUCAAGAUGCCAGGGAAAAAGCAGUGGCACAGAGUGGCAGCUGGAGCCAGGGGCAGCUUGUGACCCAAACCCCACACAAGUAAUUUUUAUCAUCUCAGAGUUGUAUUUGACUUCCAUGUUGCCCAGAAAGAUCCUAUAUUAUUAUUAUUGUUAUGUAUCACCUGCCUGAGGGUCACUGCCCCAAAGUCGUGUUCCCUAUGAUUUUUAUCUGGUCUAUUAUUUUGGCGAGGGAGGGGUGUUUCCUUUUGUUAUUUGCGAAAGGAAUUCCAUAUUCGUGAAUGCUCAUGUUUCUGGUUGCUCAAGUACCUUUUAUAUUUCACUAUUAUGACCAUCUUCCUGGACAAACAUGGAGAUUUCAUUAACACGUUUCAUUUCUAGACAAGCAAUGAGAUUUUAAGUGUUGCCACACCCAGCAUCAGUCCUUGGCGCAGGCUGCUGGAUACAACUUCUUGUAUUCUCGCUCUUCCAAUUGCCUUUUUUUGUAGUUUUCCAGGAUUGGAAAUGUGCCUCUGUGUAUAAGAGCAUGUUUAGUUUUCCAAUAAUAUCUUCUGCAAUAGUACAUUAAAUAAUUUCCCUGUGAAGUUCCCUUUCUGCAUCUACUUUAGGUCAUCCAGAUUGCAAAGGGAGUGUGUGGAACAUAAGGCACUGCAACAAUUUAGUUCACUGCCUUAUAGAAAUGCUACACCUCCGUUGUUCUUGUAUCCAUUUCUGUUAAAUAUUGAUACAUUUUGAUCAGAUUAUUUUGGCUACUGUUUCUUCCAUUAUAUUGGUAAUGUAAAAAGCCCACUGUCAAAGGCAUUUUUCUCAGUUUCACGCUCCAACAUUUUUCAUCAAAUGGCCAAUUUUUUACUUCAAAAAAAACCCAAAUGGGGGACAUUUCUAUUACAUUUUGUAGAUUUGUCUUGUGUGUAUAUAUAUAUAUAUAUGGCCAUGUUUUUCAGUGAUCUGUGUAGUCAUACUCACAAGUUGGAGUUACUUCAUGCAGGACUUGUAUGAAAUGGUUUUUUCUUGAGCCUUUCAGAUGUGGUGACCAGUAACAUAUAUAUAUACUUUUUAAUUUUUAACAAAUACCAUAUUUCCUUGCCUCUUGUUUUCUUAAAAUUUUUCUAGAUUUUGUGAUUUUUGAAGGGAAUUGAAUCUCUCAUUCUCUCACUGCCCUAAGACUCAUACGAUAUAUUGGCACAAUGAGCAUUCUUAGGGUUUUUUGUAGUUCUUUCUAAGCUGUUUAUUGAUAAGUGUUUGAAUUCCUAAUUCUCACUAGAAAAUUUAAAGUAAAACCAAGUUAAUAGUCAAUAUAUUAACACUACCAUUAAAAAUCUAGUUUUUUGUCAGUGCAUCUUGUUAUUGUAUAUUUAUAUAAAACAUUGCUUAUUGUUUUGUUUAGUAUCAGUUCAGUCCUUUAUCCCUGCAUUACUUCUUUGCAAAGCCAGUCAAGCAAAGGCAUCUGCGUAUCCCAAAGUGGGAUUAUGACCUCAUUCUGAUUAUGACCUCAUUUUGAUAUUUUUGCUUCUCCCUGAACCCUGCUUUCUUGUUUGCCUCUGCCCUUUCUUCAGCAGGGAUUUGUUCUUCACCACUAAUCUUUUAGAAGUCCCUUAGGAUUUAUAUUGGUUUCUUCUGUUCCUUUUUUCUAAGAGUAAGUGUAGUCUGUGAGCUUUAAUUAUGGUAUAUUUUAAGAUUCCCUAGGAGUGAAUCUUAACAGAGUCUUCCACACAGUUCAGACAGAGAAUGACACAGAUGCGGCACAGGAAGCCCUAAAUGAGUGGCUGGGAUCUGCCGUCAUGUUUUUUGUGAAGUAAUUACUGAAGAAAGUGUUUGAGGCUGUGCUACUCUUCUCAGAAGAAAAGAGGAUAAAGAAAAUCAUUCUUCUAGAAGAAAAUGUAAUUUGAAAGAUAGCAGGGAAACUGGGCCUGUUGUGCAUAGGCUGUAGCAGGAUAAAGUUCCAUUAAGUAAGGAUGUAAGCCAGUGGAUGUCUGCAACAGAAGAAGAAAAGGAAGACAGAGAGGUUUGGAUUCACACAGACAACUUCUGUGGCUGAGUUGAGAUUUCCAGGUGAAAUCCAACAUGAAGUAAAAUGAAGACAAAAGAGCAAUAUUUAAUUUUCAAGCUUUUGGAAAAAGUAUUCUGAGUGUUUUUCUGGGAAAUUCUCUUUAAGAUCUGUUUUAUUUUCCCUUAGAUAAAGCCUUCAGCCUUCUUUAAAAUUCAAAUGGGUGGAAGAGCCGAGAGAAAAAGAUGUGGCAAGAAAACCUUGUCAUUGGUGAGUCACAGUUACUAAACUUAUUUUGCUGGUGAUAAGUUGAUAAGUCUGAAAACAUAGCUCGACACAUUCUCUCUAGCAAGUAAUUAGUUCAGGAAGUUCUCACCCCAUUUUCUCCUCUCCCCAGUUGCUUGUUCCUCCCACUGCACUGUAUUUCAGCACCAUAUUGUUGUACCAGUUAGAAUGUAUGUGGGUUGUGCUAUAAACUUGGGUCACUUAUGGGUUCUGGGUUAAACAAAGACCCUUCAGAACAAAGGAGCGCUUCAAAAUCCAAAU